UGCGUAGGCGUCCUCAUAAGUCUCCUGUGAAAUCCCACGGCUUAACCGUGGAACUGCAGGGGAAACUGUGAGGAUAGAGUGUGGAAGAGGUAGAUGGAAUUUCCGGUGUAGGGUAAAAUCCGUAGAGAUCGGAAGGAAUACCAAUGGCGAAGGCAAUCUACUGGGACAUCACUGACGCUGAGGCACGAAAGCGUGGGGAGCAAACA
rnacentral:rRNA from 1 species